UACGUAGGGUGCGAGCGUUAAUCGGAAUUACUGGGCGUAAAGGGUGCGCAGGCGGUUCUGCAAGUCAGGCGUGAAGGCCCCGGGCCUAACCUGGGAAUGGCGCUUGAAACUACAGGACUGGAGUAUGGCAGAGGGAGGUGGAAUUCCACGUGUAGCGGUGAAAUGCGUAGAGAUGUGGAGGAACACCGAUGGCGAAGGCAGCCUCCUGGGCCAAUACUGACGCUCAUGCACGAAAGCGUGGGGAGCAAACAGG
rnacentral:rRNA from 1 species